rnacentral:rRNA from 1 species
GUGUCAGCCGCCGCGGUAAUACGAAGGGAGCUAGCGUUGUUCGGAAUUACUGGGCGUAAAGGGCGCGUAGGCGGGUUUCCAAGUCGGGGGUGAAAUUCCAGGGCUCAACCCUGGGACGGCCUUCGAUACUGGGAGCCUGGAGAUCGGGAGAGGUGAGUGGAAUUCCGAGUGUAGAGGUGAAAUUCGUAGAUAUUCGGAGGAACACCAGAAGCGAAGGCGGCUCACUGGCCCGAGACUGACGCUGAGGCGCGAAAGCGUGGGGAGCAAACAGGAUUAGAUACCCCAGUAGUCC